GGCCGCGGGAAUUCGAUUCAGGCCUAACACAUGCAAGUCGAGCGGGGUUUUCGGACCUAGCGGCGGACGGGUGAGUAAUGCGUAGGAAGCUACCCGAUAGAGGGGGAUACCAGUUGGAAACGACUGUUAAUACCGCAUAAUGUCUACGGACCAAAGUGUGGGACCUUCGGGCCACAUGCUAUCGGAUGCGCCUACGUGGGAUUAGCUAGUUGGUGAGGUAAUGGCUCACCAAGGCGACGAUCUCUAGCUGGUUUGAGAGGAUGAUCAGCCACACUGGAACUGAGACACGGUCCAGACUCCUACGGGAGGCAGCAGUGGGGAAUAUUGGACAAUGGGCGCAAGCCUGAUCCAGCAAGGCCGCGUGUGUGAAGAAGGCCUUCGGGUGUAAAUUAAUAGAGUAGGGAGGAAGAGUUAAGUAUUAAU
rnacentral:rRNA from 1 species